CGCGUAGGCGGCUUUUUAAGUCGGAUGUGAAAUCCCUGAGCUUAACUUAGGAAUUGCAUUCGAUACUGGAAGGCUAGAGUAUGGGAGAGGAUGGUAGAAUUCCAGGUGUAGCGGUGAAAUGCGUAGAGAUCUGGAGGAAUACCGAUGGCGAAGGCAGCCAUCUGGCCUAAUACUGACGCUGAGGUACGAAAGCGAUGGGGAGCAAACA
rnacentral:rRNA from 1 species